AUAUAUAUUAUCGUAUAUGAAUCAUUUGGUGAAGAAGGUUCCGUGAUUUCAUAUUAAAAAUUUCCGGAUCUAAUCUUUAUUAACACUCCUGACAACAUAAUAUUAUUCCGAAUAAUAUACAUAAUCAUUUAAUUCAAUCUGCUAGUACAACUUGUCAUUGGAUCAUCUACAGCUUACUUCUCCGCUCACUUUAAUAUCUUUCCAAAUUAAAAAUUUAUUAUCUUUCAAGGAGAAGCGUUCGAGUGAUAAUCUAUUACUUCCUAUAAAUAGAUGACAAUUCCUUUAAGUUUGUGAGAGGAAUUCCCUCAAUAACAUUGGUGUAUUCUAUGGAAAGAGUGUAUUUUACCCUAAUUUUCUUUUGAUAGAUUUAAACAGUAUAAGUUUCAGCCAAUCCUUGAUGGUUCAAGAGUGGAUUGGCAUUGUCUACUAAAAACUAAAGAAGAUGGGGAAAAAUAGAAACUGUAUAGUUCCUGGAUGUGAUACUGGAAGAUUUUCGAGUAGAGGAGUUAAAAAAGAACAUCCGAUAUCCCUUCACGGAUUUCCUAAUGAAUCCACAUGGAUUGAGACUUGGAAAGAGGUCAUUCCUAUCGAUUGGAACUCAAUUCCAUUGUUAUAGAGUCCCAUAGCAUCAACAUAAAUAAUGCCGUAAUAUGUUCUCGUCAUUUUAAAAAGACCGACUUUCGUUCGGAUAUAUAUAGUGAUAUCCAACCCUCUAAGAAGAGACGUUUAAACCGUGAUGCAAUCCCGUCUAUAUUCCCAGGAGACUCUCCAAGUCCCGAAAAUAUUACUGUGAUUGAAGAACCUAUUCAAUACACGAUUGAAAGCACUGAGAAGCAAGACGUCUCGGAUUGUAUUGAUUUAGACAAUGCUGUCCUUUGUAUAGAAGUGGAAGAGUUAAAGGAUUUGAAUCAUUUAGAGUCAGAGAUUUGCUCCAGUACCCUUCCUUCUAAGGUUUUAUAUCAGCGAGAUUUACAUUCCAUUGAUUUCUUUUAUGUUGAGAAGUUUGAUGGGGGGCCACCAAGGCUAGGUUUCUCAUUAAUUGUAUAUAAUGAUUUACAUUUUAAAGCCUACGUUCGAGGAAAGGAGGUUCUUUUUUCAAAUCUACGUCAACUUCGAGUUUCCAAAGUUUUUAAAACCUAUUUUGAAAUAUUGUAUGCGUUAAAUGCCCUCAAGAAAUGUCUUUAAUUAAUCUAUUUUUCGAUGUCAAAUUAUUAACUGAAAAGAGCCUUCUAUUCUUCUUGUCAUACAAUCAUUAGUCAUUCAUUAUAUUCAACAAAUCCGAUUUAAAUUUUUCAGUUAAUAUAUUAUGUACUAGUACUUUUUAUUUAUUGUAUAGAAAACAUAAUAGUAUCACGAAGAUCUUUUGUGUUAGAUCCGUGAGUAAGAAAGAACUAAAUAAAAAAUAAUGUCAUAUUAA
rnacentral:misc_RNA from 1 species